UUGAUUGCAGCUAGGGAACGAUUGAUCCAACCCCUCUUGGCUUGCUCGCAUUCGGCUGGGUCCCAGUUUUGGAAAUCUGUCCAGACCAUCAAGGAUGAGAUUAGGCUGGGUUUGCGGUUCUCGGUUGGUAAUGGGUCUGGGACCCAGUUUUGGUUGGACCCCUAG
rnacentral:rRNA from 1 species